GCGUGGAAAGAAUGGUGCAACGGGUUAGUGCACGCGCCUUGGAUAGGGUGACGUGCGGGUUCGAUCCCCGCCUGGCGCA